ensembl:lncRNA
CUGAGAGUUUACAGGUUUUUAUGUUAGAUUUCUUCAGUAAUUUAAUGAGUUAUCAGCAAAAAUCAAGUGUUCAUUUGAUGAACUUCAUUUCCUAAAACAUCCAGAAUUGGAGCUCAUAUCUUUGGCAGCUGUAAAGUUUCUGCUCCUUCAAAGUUCACAACACAAUGAAUGAAUUCCUAAAACACUCUCAAUGCUGGAGAGCAUUUGAUGCUGAAGCAGUGAUCAGUUUUUCUGUUUCUUCUCUGGAGAUGCACAAUGAGGGACGUCUGCAGAGACUGAGAAAGAGUCUCACCACAUCCUGACAUGAGGAAAAAGACUUCAUUGAAGACUACAAUGAGAAAAACUAUCAGACAGCAGACGGCUGCAUUCAAGGUGAGCUCUGAACAUUUGAUCUGGAACAGGAAUUCAAUCACGGCAGCAUGAGCUUCAUUUCAGUCUGUAGCUGCUGAAUUCAUGGAUGAAUCAUCUGGCACUAGAGAGGAAGACCAUCAAACAUCCACAUCAGCUGAUGGAGGUCCAAGAGUCUCACCCAACAAACAACCUACAGAGUGAAGACCUCAAAUCUGAUUGGACGGCCUCCUAUUCAGCCACAUGCUACAGGAGGAGCCCUAUGAGGACGAGCCGGUCCACCUGAUGGAGGCCAGUCGCUGCGGUUCAAAGCCAACACCGACUACGUGGACUUCUACUGGACCACAUGGAGGCCUUCAAACCGGACCAACAAGUUCAGCGACUCCCCGACUCGUGGGUCUGAGGAUGCUGCCGAGCCUCGGUCCAGCCGGCCUCCUGUCUGUGGAUGUUUGAGUGCUGAGAGACCUGACCGUGAACACCGUUGACACCCACCUGAGGGAGACGCUGCCUAAGAUCUCAAGGCUGCUUGGUCAUGGUCUUUCUGGUCCUGCUCCAGAACGCCUUCAUCAACUACGUCUUCUUUUGAAGAGGCCCUCAGAUGCUGCAAUCUCUGACCUUCAGGAGGAACUGCUACUUUCACUCUGUAAUGAGACGGUGGUUAUUUUAAAGACCCAGCUCCUGGCGGCUUUGAAUGAAAGUUUAACACCCAUCAAAACGGAACUACAGACA